GCGCGACUCCACAAUGCCUGAAGGGUGAUGGGGGGAUCCCGAGUGCCCAUACUUAGUAUGGGCUUUUGAUGAGUGUAAAAAGCUCGUCGAAUAAGAGGUGGGCAAUACCGGUGCCAGCAGCCGCGGUAAUCCCGGAGCCUCGAGUGGUAGUCACAUUUAUUGGGCUUAAAGCGUCCGUAGCCGGACAUAUAAGUUCCUCGUGAAAUCGUUCGUCUCAAGCGAACGGCGUGCUUGGAAUACUAUAUAUCUAGGGACCGGGAGGGGCAGAGGGUACGCCUGGUGUAGGGGUAAAAUCCUAUAAUCCCAGGUGGACCACCAGUGGCGAAGGCGUCCGACUAGAACGGAUCCGACGGUGAGGGACGAAGCCGUGGGGCACAAACCGGAUUAGAUACCCGGGUAGUCCAAGCCGUAAACGCUGCCCGCUAGGUGCCGCAUAUUCUUCGAGAGUAUGCGAUGCCGAAGAGAAAUCAUUAAGCGGGCCGCCUGGGGAGUACGGUCGCAAGGCUGAAACUUAAAGGAAUUGGCGGGGGAGCACAAGCCGAAUUCCAGCC
rnacentral:rRNA from 1 species